UACGGGGGGGGUAAGCGUUGUUCGGAAUUACUGGGCGUAAAGGGCUCGUAGGCGGCCCACUAAGUCGGACGUGAAAUCCCUCAGCUUAACUGGGGAACUGCGUCUGAUACUGGAUGGCUUGGAUUUGGGAGAGGGAUGCGGAAUUCCAGGUGUAGCGGUGAAAUGCGUAGAUAUCUGGAGGAACACCGGUGGCGAAGGCGGCAUCCUGGACCAACAUUGACGCUGAGGAGCGAAAGCCAGGGGAGCAAACGUG
rnacentral:rRNA from 1 species